rnacentral:lncRNA from 1 species
ACCUUUGAUUGUUAAAAGCAAAACAGCUGACAGUCUGUCAGAACUCAGAAGUGUCAGUGUGAGAUUAGGCAGAUUUCUAGCAACUCAGUAUUCGUUACUGUUCUUUUAUAUAAUUUUGACAGCCUUCCUGGUUGCAAUGAAGAAGAAUCAGUAGUCAAAAGUGAAGAGGUUAACAUGGUCAUCAGGCAUCCACCUCCAUGUACAUGGAGGUGUAUACAACAACACAGUACAUACUGUACUGUAUUCCUUUUAUGUGAAAACCAUAUGUCAGCUGACUUGCCUUUCUGGUUGCAAUGAAGAAGAACAAUUAGAGUCAAAAUUAUUAAAUGGUGAUGCCAUAUUGUGCGUUCCUUUUGAAAUAUCUUUUUUCACAUUUCUUUAAGUAUUUACCCUAAUUUUCCUGUAACCUUGGUAACUUUUGGGUUACGAUUUAUUAAGAGGACAUCACUUGAUGAUACCCGGGAAAAGCAAUCACUACUGGGACAGAAAAUCACAGUACACGGGUCACAGUGUAAUGAUGCCGACUGGGCUAAUUCCGCAUUUUUUAAUCAUCCUUGCUUUGUUGUUACAUUUCCUAUACUGCAGAGUAUAGUUUGACAGAUGUAUUCAAUCACUAUCACAGCCCACGCAUGAAUUUCAGCAAUAUCUGUGUCUAGUAACGGACAACAAUAGCCCUCUGCAAUCUUCUUCCAUUCUACUAUUUCACCUCUAUUCCAUUGAUUCGAAGUUCAUUCCAACAGAAACAGUCUCACGUUCGAAAAUGUUUCUAUGCAGCGCAACGGAUCACUCAGAGCCACUUUUUUCAGUCAUGGGACAAGUGAAAUUCAAACCGGACGAGACCUAACGACGAAGCCUAAGAAACGGGAAAAGAGGAAUUAUUUUGCGAACAAGAAUGAUUUUUUUUUUGAAAUUUCACAUCUUGUAAACUAUCCAAAUCUCACACACCUUAGGGUUUUAUUCUGUCAUAAGUUUACUACAAUUUACACACUGGACAUUUUACAAUUGCAUUUUGUGUGUAUAUUGGAGUAGGUCUUUCAUAGUAUAAAACCCCAAGCCAUGUGAUUUAUUCUCUAUCCGGAGAAAAAAAAAGUUUAAAAGAUGUGAAAUUUUAAAAUUUUAAUCAUUGUUUGCUAAUGUCUAUGACACGAUUUCUAUCUAUAACGAAAACGAUCUGCCUCGUAUGGAGAUCGAAGUAAAAUGUUCUGUUACGAAGGCUUCGCGAUCUAGACAGCUUUUUUCUCUGCAUUUGAUCAACCUGAACGUAAAAUCAAGUUUUGGCAAAAUUAAGAAAAAAGUUUCCUAUCUUGGGAGUUUAAACUGGCUGUUAAGGAAGUUAGAUACGAUGCCGAAGCUUAUGUCAUGACAACGGGUAAAAAGAGCAAGUCGUCGGCUAAAAGAUUGCCUUGAAAUCUUAAGCCUUAUUGAAUAUUAGGUAUUGUGUUACAAUUGAAGAGCGUGUUAGAGCAACCAAAAAUGUGUGAUCGUUCGGAAGUCAUCUAUUUAAAGCGUUUUUACAAAUUGUCGAUACGAGACAAGCUUCACGCAUUCGCUGUAUUUCCCCGCGGAUUAAAUAUGGCCCCUUAUUUAUUUGAUCCAAGUCCACUAAUACCGUUGAUGGCUUCAUCAGUGUCUGUAUGAAGGAGUCGGUGGUGGAUACUGUACAAGAUUAUAAACGUAGUCAAUCGACAGAGGAUAUUGAUGGAGGUCAGGUGUAAACAGUAACUGAAAUUCGUUGGAGGAGGGACCGAAGGUUUCCAGAUUCUUUUAUUUUCUCACGUGUUUUGGUAUUUUUACACAAAAAAAUUAAGUGCAUAUCUGGGCUCCCUUCUUUUCUGUGGCCCCGUUUCCCCUUGACUUAUGAUAAGCCCG